UGGGGAAUAUUGCACAAUGGGCGCAAGCCUGAUGCAGCAACGCCGCGUGAGGGACGACGGCCUUCGGGUUGUAAACCUCUUUUGGCAGGGAAGAAGCGAAAGUGACGGUACCUGCAGAAAAAGCACCGGCUAACUACGUGCCAGCAGCCGCGGUGAUACGUAGGGUGCAAGCGUUGUCCGGAAUUAUUGGGCGUAAAGAGCUCGUAGGCGGUUUGUCGCGUCUGCUGUGAAAACCCGAGGCUCAACCUCGGGCCUGCAGUGGGUACGGGCAAACUAGAGUGCGGUAGGGGGGAUUGGAAUUCCUGGUGUAGCGGUGGAAUGCGCAGAUAUCAGGAGGAACACCGAUGGCGAAGGCAGAUCUCUGGGCCGUAACUGACGCUGAGGAGCGAAAGCAUGGGGAGCGAACA
rnacentral:rRNA from 1 species